GGAUGUGAACAUUUACAUUUACAAAAUAUCACGAAUUAUAAAAGUAAAAGGACAAAAACAACUAGUAGUUAGUUGACCGCUCCAAAUGAGAAAGUCAUAAAACAACAAGAAAGAUCUCUACAAAAUUAUUAAAGUGAAAACAAAUAGAACCUAAUAAAUGUUAUAAUAAAAGAAAAAUUAUUCCAACCCAUCUAUAUUUUUUCAUCUAAAAUAGAUUGCUAUUUCUUUCCUCUAAAUAUAAAGUUAAUCUUUUUAUUUACAAACUAGCCCUUUAAUUUUAAAACUUUUAUAAUUGUAACCAAAGCAACUAGUUUUUUAGAAAUUACAGCUUUUUAAAUAUAGAAUACACUUUAUAUUUAUAUAAUAGUCUUUUAAAGAAAAUUUAAUUUAAAACAAAUCACAAUUUUAUGAAAACCUUGUAAAAAUUAGAAAUACAUAGGUGUUAAUUAUUAACUUUCAUAAAUAAAUAAAACUUGUUGUAAAAUUUAAAUAGAAUCUUUGAGAAUAUUCAUUUUUAUAGAUAAAAAUAGAGGAAUACAUUGGAAAUAAAUACAUCUCUAUUUAUAAGUAAAAAUAGGAAUACAUUGGAAAGAAACACAUCAUAUCUAUAAAUAAAACAAAAUACUUAAAUGAACUUUUGAAACAAAAUUCGGUUAAUUCGUCAACUUCUAAUGUGUUAAGUGCACUAUAUAAUGUAUAGUUUAUGUAAUAAAUGUAUAAGUUAUAAUUGAAUAACUAAAAUAAUCAUAUAAAGGACCAGAUUGAACAUGUGUUCUUAAAAUUACAUAAAAUAUAAUAGCCAUUUAAUAUAUAUAUAUUUGGAUAUAUUUUUAUAAAGACCAUUGAACAUAUCUAUUCUUAAAAAUACUAGUAUUUAUUAUUUGCUUUAUUUUAUUGAAUAUUUAUUUACUUUACUUUCUAGAGUUAAGGAUAUUCAAAAUUUCCGUUCAAAUCAAAAUGGAUAAUAAAUCGAAUCAAAAUUUAUAGAUAUUUUCCUAACAUUAAAUAUAAUCGCUAAUUUAUAUUGGCACGUAAACACUGAGACGGAGUAAAUUUCAUGAAGAUGUUAUUUAAAAUUUGCAGUUUCAGAUAAGGCCAUGAUUUGAAACUUAUAAACUUAUAUAAUCCAAUAUAUUUAUAAUUUCAUUCCAUACCAUUCACAGCUUAUUAUUCAAAUGUAUAUUUUUAAUUGGUUUUAUUUUUGAUGUAACAUUGAAAAUAUAGUAACAUGGUCUUUACCUAUAACAUCAGAAUUAUAAUUUAUAUUUCCAAAAUAUUUAAAAUUGACAAAUAAAUCUGAGAGAAAUAAGCAUUAUAUUUUUUUUUCUUUUCAAAAAAAAGUGUAAAUGACAAUUUAUCUGCUAUCGCCCGGUUAAUGCAAAGUAGUUUUAGACUUUAGUGAAAUAAAAAUAACGUUGACAAAGCGUGUUAGAAUGUAACAUCACUAAGUUCAAGAAUCUGCAAAAAUUAACGUCAACGGAGACAUUCUCUUGUCGUUUUCACUUUCCAUAGGUCAUCAAAACCCAACAGUCGGCAGCUUUCCAGCGAUAUCAAACCCGACCCAUCAAGAUUCGGACCAUUCCGGAUCAACCCGGUUACCCAAAAUCCAACCUUUACCUCUUUAAUUCUCCGAAAGUUCGAAACUUUGAAAAUGAAUCCAUCGCGACUCUUCUUCUCCGGCGAUGGACGUUUCACACCGUUAGAGUUUCCAUCUUUAAGAUUGAAGACGAUGAUGAUGAUCAUCGAGCUAGGUAAAGUUUCCCUCUUUAAGAUUGUAUACAAAUGUUGAAGUGAAUGUACUCUUUACUCUGUUUCAUUGAUGUUACUCUUGAUGCAUCCUAAUUAGUUUUGUAUGUCUUUAUUGCUAUUAAUAUUUUAGGAAGAGAUAGAAAGGCUUUCUUUUUUUCUUUUUUUUUUUGAACACAGAGAGGCUUUCAAAAUGCAAGUUUCUGACUGUAAAGAACUCUGAGAAAGUGAAUGGCCAAGUCCUGGAAACUCAAGGAGGGAUAUCUAGCGAUGAUGCAGAGUGUAGCAGCAUUCGUCUGUGGUAGAGCUUCCUUGUAGGCACCACUUCCACAGUUUUUGUGUAGACAAAUGGCUAAGGAUCAACAUAGUUGGCAGUGAACAAGUGUGAGAGAAGGAAGAAGCUUGGUUCCUCACUUGCUCUCUUGAGUUCAUGUAUGCGAAUGUCAUGAGCUCAUCAUCAUCACACACUGCUUUACACCUCGUUUAUUUUUUGACCAAUACAGAGGAAAGAACAAGAAGUUUUGUUUUGAAAACAAAGCCGAACUUCUUGUUUUUGUUUCUAAUCGUUUUUAUGUAGUUGUAAAUGCAAUAAGUAAAUAGUUCGGCUGAACAAAAUGUUUCUCGAGGUCAUUGUGGUGAGGUGGAUCAGAGAAUGCGAAUACAAUUUAUUUUUAUUUUUUUAUAUUAAAUAAUUUUAUAACUAAUAAUUAUUAUAAAAUAAUUUUAUAAUUGAUAAGUAUAUCUACCCUAUGAAAUUCACAUUUGAUGGUUAUGUUUGCAAUAUUUGAAUCGUAUUUACAUUGCAUUUAAUUGUUUAAUAAAGAUUUAUAUCUGAUAGUAUCAUGUUAAAAAAUGUUGUAAGCAUUUUCUACUAAUAUGUCGAAAUUUAUUUCUAAAAUAUAGAUCUCA